UCCGGGGUGCGGGCGUUCGCUUGUUUGCAAAAAUGAGAGGAAAGUCCGGACACCAUAGGGCAAGACUCCCUGUGAAAGCAGGGGCGCGCAGGGGAAACCCUGCGUGACGGACAGUGUCACAGAGAACAGACCGCCUCGAGCUUGUCUCGGGGUAAGGGUGAAAAGGGGAGGUAAGAGCUCACCGCUCCAGCGGUAACAAUGGAGGCAGGAUAAACCCAGUCUGGUGCAAGGCAAAAUAGGGGAUCGGGCGGCCCGUCUGAUGAUCUCGGGUAUGCCGCAUCUCGCUUCGGCGGGAAUCCCGCUUGCGGGAUAGAUAAAUGGACGCACGGCUUUCGGGCUGACAAAAUCUGGCUUACAGCACUCCGGAAUCG
rnacentral:RNase_P_RNA from 1 species